rnacentral:lncRNA from 1 species
UCCCUUUCCACACUGUGGAAGGUUUGUUCUUUUGCUCUUUGCAAUAACUCUUGCUGCUGCUCACUGUUUGGGUCCACAUUGCUUUUAUGAGCUGUAACACUCGCCGCGAAGGUCUACAGCUUCAGUCCUGAAGCCGGCGAGACCACCAACCCACCAGGAGGAACAAACAACUUCAGACGCGCUGCCUUAAGAGCUGUAACACUCACCGCGAAGGUCUGCAGCUUCACUCCUGAAGCCAGCGAGACCACGAACCCAUCAGGAGGAACGAACAACUCCAGACGCGCCGCCUUAAGAGCUGCAACACUCACCGCGAAGGUCCGUAGCUUCACUCCUGAGCCAGCGAGACCACGAACCCACCAAAAGGAAGAAACUCCGGACACAUCCUAACAUCAGAAGGAACAAACUCCGGACACGCCACCUUUAAGAACUGUAACACUCACCGCGAAGGUCCACGGCUUCAUUCUUUAAGUCAGUGAGACUGAGAACCCGCCAAUUCCGGACACACAGCUACAGCCAAGCCUCUUUGCUUCUCUGGGCCAGCCUCUCUGGAGCUGAAUCGUGGCUGGCUGGAUUUGAGGAGCCUGCAUGGGCGCACUCUCUCUUUCUGAAUCCCAGCUAGGGCUCUCCUGGCUGUAAUUACUAAGACUCAGCUGCUGGGAAUUUCCACGCCUCCUACCUCUCUACAGGGCAGUCCCUCCAUAUUAGGAAACCCACUGGCACGCUCCGCCGUUAUCUUCGCAAGACUUCCGUUGUUGCCUCAAGUUGCAGAUUGCCUUUUAACAGAGAAGAAAGUGACAGGAAGAUGUCUCUGCUGGCAGCGUGGGGGGCAGGCUGGCUUGGGGAUGCUGGAGGCUGGAGCUCUAAGUAGAGGAUGGUGUUAUCCAAGACCCGGAGGCAUCAGGACCUGCAAAAGUGCUGUCAAAACAGGAAAAUGCUGUGAACUUUAACAAAAUUGUCAAGUUCACCAACUUUUUUUUUUCUCUGUUAAAGAUCUUGCUUGCUUGACUGGUUUUUCCAAAUUCCCAGAGCUUCUCUGAAGUCAGUCAAUAUGGCAUUAUUGUCAUUUGGGGAACAGUAAACCUUUGAAAAAUGAAUGUGCUGGCACUGAUGACACAGUAAUGACCAAGGUCUUCAGUGUUUUGGCCAUCUCCCUACCUGAUCACCCUGAAGCAACACCCACAAGCAGACAAGCUCUGCCCAGGUACAUUGAGAUCCCAGAACCAGAGCCACUAGCAAUCUCACCCUAAGAGGAAGAGAAGGAGAGCCAGGCAUGGCUGUCUGCAGUGUGCCUCUCACGGAUACUUCUUUUACCUGGCGGACAGCCCAGCGCCUAGUUGUCUGACCCGUGAUCAAGAUGUCCUUCACACGGAAAACUUGUUUAUUCUGACAAAUGCCUUGGUGGUUGCUGUGUCCAGUGAAUGCCUGCCUGACCAUCGCUCGGAGCUGGGAGCUUGUGUUAUCCACUGCGUCCCGGGGAAAACCUGCUGGGGCAGCCCCCGGUUCUUCCUUUCUUCUCUGCAACUGGGGUUCUCUGUGUUCAGGGAUUACCCAAACCACGGCUUUCUUUGGAGACCAGUGAUGGCAAAGCGUUCUCUUCUGCUCCUGCCAAGUCGCCCUCACUCAGCUCAAGGCCUCUGGCAUUCCUUGGAGACUUCUGCUCACUGCUGUUGGAGGAAGAUGCUGAUUCAGGCCAGAUUCCAUCUUGGGGUGCGUGCCCUUGGUCUUCCUCUGCCCCACACGCUCCUUCCGCAGCUCUGUGCAUGGUUGCUCCUGCCUGUCAUUCAGGCUUUGGCUCAGACAGCACUUACUCAAGAGAACUUUUUUGGUAGACGCAUAGCUUUUAAAUUUUUUUUAAAUUUUUUAAUUUUUUAAACGUAGUAUUUUGAUUCAGGGGAUACAUGUGCAUGUUCGUCACAGGGUAUAUUGUGUGAUGCUGAGGUUUUGGCUUCUAUUGAUCCUGUCACCCAAAGAGUGAACAUAGUCCCCAGCAGGAAAUUUUUUAACCCUUGCCCCCAUCCCUCCCUCUCCCCUUUUGGAGUCUCCUGUAUCUGUUAUUCCCAUCUUUAUGUCAUGUGUACUCAAUGUUUAGCUCCCAAUUAUAAGUGAGAAUUUGUGGGA